AUCUGCCCUGCACUUUGGGAUAAGCCUGGGAAACUGGGUCUAAUACCGAAUAGGACCAUGGACUUCACGGUUUGUGGUGGAAAGCUUUUGCGGUGUGGGAUGGGCCCGCGGCCUAUCAGCUUGUUGGUGGGGUAAUGGCCUACCAAGGCGACGACGGGUAGCCGGCCUGAGAGGGUGACCGGCCACACUGGGACUGAGAUACGGCCCAGACUCCUACGGGAGGCAGCAGUGGGGAAUAUUGCACAAUGGGCGCAAGCCUGAUGCAGCGACGCCGCGUGAGGGAUGACGGCCUUCGGGUUGUAAACCUCUUUCAGCACAGACGAAGCGCAAGUGACGGUAUGUGCAGAAGAAGGACCGGCCAACUACGUGCCAGCAGCCGCGGUAAUACGUAGGGUCCGAGCGUUGUCCGGAAUUACUGGGCGUAAAGAGCUCGUAGGUGGUUUGUCGCGUUGUCCGUGAAAACUCACAGCUCAACUGUGGGCGUGCGGGCGAUACGGGCAGACUGGAGUACUGCAGGGGAG
rnacentral:rRNA from 1 species